rnacentral:tRNA from 1 species
AAAUAAGAAGCAAUAAAUGCAUUUAAUUUCGACUUAAAAAAUAGAGUAAUUAAUUUACUCCUUAUUUA